UACGUAGGUGACAAGCGUUGUCCGGAUUUACUGGGCGUAAAGAGCGCGCAGGCGGUCGUUCAAGUCGAGUGUGAAAGCCCCCGGCUCAACUGGGGAGGGUCAUUCGAUACUGAUCGACUCGAAGGCAGGAGAGGGAAGUGGAAUUCCCGGUGUAGUGGUGAAAUGCGUAGAUAUCGGGAGGAACACCAGUGGCGAAGGCGACUUCCUGGCCUGUAACUGACGCUGAGGCACGAAAGUGUGGGGAUCAAACAGG
rnacentral:rRNA from 1 species